GGAGUGCAGGUAGAAAUAUGUAUAUAGUAUACUUAUAUACUCUAUAAGUAUACUAUAUACAUAUUUCUACCUGCACUCC